rnacentral:rRNA from 1 species
AUCUGGCAGCUUCGCUGUCCGAGUUGUAGUCUCGAGAAGUGUUUUCCGCGCUGGACCAUGUAUGAGUCUGUUGGAAUACAGCGUCAUAGAGGGUGAGAACCCCGUUCAUGACAUGCCUUCCAGUGCUUUGUGAUACACUUUCGAUGAGUCGAGUUGUUUGGGAAUGCAGCUCAAAAUGGGUGGUAAAUUCCAUCUAAAGCUAAAUAUUGGGGAGAGACCGAUAGCAAACAAGUACCGUGAGGGAAAGAUGAAAAGCACUUUGGAAAGAGAGUUAACAGUACGUGAAAUUGUCGAAAGGGAAACGCUUGAAGUCAGACGUGCGUAGUGCCUUCGGGUGCUGUUGCAGGCCAGCAUCAGUUUUUCGAGCCGGAUAAAGGUGGGAGGAAGGUAGCAGUCUCGGCUGUGUUAUAGCCUCCCACUGAAUACGGAUUGUGAGACUGAGGAAUGCGAUUCUAGGAUGCUGGUGAAAUGGCUUUAAACGAC